AUCCAGCAGACGAGUCCCGAAUAGGACGAAAUGCGCAUUGUCGUGGAU
rnacentral:hammerhead_ribozyme from 1 species